UACGUAGGGUGCAAGCGUUGUCCGGAAUUAUUGGGCGUAAAGAGCUUGUAGGCGGUUUGUCGCGUCUGCUGUGAAAUUUCGGGGCUCAACCCCGAACUUGCAGUGGGUACGGGCAGACUAGAGUGUGGUAGGGGAGACUGGAAUUCCUGGUGUAGCGGUGAAAUGCGCAGAUAUCAGGAGGAACACCGAUGGCGAAGGCAGAUCUCUGGGCCAUAACUGACGCUGAGAAGCGAAAGCAUGGGGAGCGAACAGG
rnacentral:rRNA from 1 species